rnacentral:rRNA from 1 species
UACGUAGGUGGCAAGCGUUGUCCGGAAUUAUUGGGCGUAAAGCGCGCGCAGGCGGUCCUUUAAGUCUGAUGUGAAAGCCCACGGCUCAACCGUGGAGGGUCAUUGGAAACUGGGGGACUUGAGUGCAGAAGAGGAAAGUGGAAUUCCACGUGUAGCGGUGAAAUGCGUAGAGAUGUGGAGGAACACCAGUGGCGAAGGCGACUUUCUGGUCUGUAACUGACGCUGAGGCGCGAAAGCGUGGGGAGCAAACAGGAUUAGAAACCCCUGUAGUCC